rnacentral:rRNA from 1 species
GAUCAUGGCUCAGAUUGAACGCUGGCGGCAGGCCUAAUACAUGCAAGUCGAACGGUAACAUAAAGAAGCUUGCUCUUUUGAUGACGAGUGGCGGACGGGUGAGUAAUAUUUGGGAAACUACCUGAUAGAGGGGGACAACAGUUGGAAACGACUGAUAAUACCGCAUAGGCACACAGUACCGCAUGGUACAGGGUGAAAAGAUUUAUCACUGUGAGAUGGACCCGCGUCUGAUUAGCCAGUUGGCAGGGUAACGGCCUACCAAAGCGACGAUCAGUAGCCGACCUGAGAGGGUGACCGGCCACAUUGGGACUGAGACACGGCCCAAACUCCUACGGGAGGCAGCAGUGGGGGAUAUUGCACAAUGGAGGAAACUCUGAUGCAGCGACGCCGCGUGAGUGAAGAAGUAUUUCGGUAUGUAAAGCUCUAUCAGCAGGGAAGAUAAUGACAGUACCUGACUAAGAAGCCCCGGCUAACUACGUG